rfam:Bacillus sp. FJAT-25509 scaffold1, whole genome shotgun sequence.
AGGGUGGUAUCUGAAUAGGGUCAAUCAAAUUUUAGUAUCCUAAGAAGAACUACACCAGGUUUUAAAAAAUCAAUUCUAAAAAUGUGUCUGCCUUGAUCCUAUAUGGACUGGGACAGAGGA